UACGGAGGAUCCAAGCGUUAUCCGGAAUCAUUGGGUUUAAAGGGUCCGUAGGCGGUUUGGUAAGUCAGUGGUGAAAGCCCAUCGCUCAACGGUGGAACGGCCAUUGAUACUGCUAGACUUGAAUUAUUAGGAAGUAACUAGAAUAUGUAGUGUGGCGGUGAAAUGCUUAGAGAUUACAUGGAAUACCAAUUGCGAAGGCAGGUUACUACUAAUGGAUUGACGCUGAUGGACGAAAGCGUGGGUAGCGAACAGG
rnacentral:rRNA from 1 species